rnacentral:rRNA from 1 species
UUCUGGCUCAGGAUGAACGCUAGCUACAGGCUUAACACAUGCAAGUCAGGGGCAGCAUGUGGUUGCUUGCAACCAAUGAUGGCGACCGGCGCACGGGUGAGUAACGCGUAUCCAACCUUCCCCUUAGUAGAGGAUAGCCCGGCGAAAGUCGGAUUAAUACUCUAUGUUCUUCAAUGCGGACAUCUAAGUUGAAGCAAAGAUUUAUCGCUAAGGGAUGGGGAUGCGUCUGAUUAGGUUGCAGGCGGGGUAACGGCCCACCUGGCCUACGAUCAGUAGGGGUUCUGAGAGGAAGGUCCCCCACACUGGUACUGAGACACGGACCAGACUCCUACGGGAGGCAGCAGUGAGGAAUAUUGGUCAAUGGGCGCGAGCCUGAACCAGCCAAGUAGCGUGCAGGAACCGACUGCCCUAUGGGUUGUAAACUGCUUUUAUCAGGGAAUAAAGUGAGGCACGCGUGCCUUUUUGUAUGUACCUGAUGAAUAAGGACCGGCUAAUUCCGUGCCAGCCGCAGC